rfam:TPA: Bos taurus chromosome 1, whole genome shotgun sequence.
UCCCUAGUGGUCCAGUGGUUAGGAAUCCACACUCUUAUUGUGGACGACCCAGGUUCAAUUCCUGGCUGGGGAG